rnacentral:lncRNA from 1 species
UUUGAGCUCAGCUCCGCAAAGCUAGCUUGAGCUCCACAAAAUUUCGAGUUAGCUCGGGCUGAGCUUAGUUUAACUCAAAAAAGGUAUAAGAGCAACAGAUGGGGGUGGUUGCAAGAUUGAGGCAAUGAGAGUGUGAUUCUAGGAGGUAUGGACUCCCCUUUAAAAUCAAGACAAUAAAUAGGAUGCCAAUGAAAUAGAUUGUGGAAACAAGGAAACUCCACUA